rnacentral:rRNA from 1 species
CGUACACUCCUGCGGGAGGCAGCAGUGGGGAAUAUUGGACAAUGGGCGCAAGCCUGAUCCAGCCAUGCCGCGUGAGUGAUGAAGGCCCUAGGGUUGUAAAGCUCUUUCACCGGAGAAGAUAAUGACGGUAUCCGGAGAAGAAGCCCCGGCUAACUUCGUGCCAGCAGCCGCGGUAAUACGAAGGGGGCUAGCGUUGUUCGGAAUUACUGGGCGUAAAGCGCACGUAGGCGGAUCGAUCAGUCAGGGGUGAAAUCCCAGGGCUCAACCCUGGAACUGCCUUUGAUACUGUCGAUCUGGAGUAUGGAAGAGGUGAGUGGAAUUCCGAGUGUAGAGGUGAAAUUCGUAGAUAUUCGGAGGAACACCAGUGGCGAAGGCGGCUCACUGGUCCAUUACUGACGCUGAGGUGCGAAAGCGUGGGGAGCAAACAGGAUUAGAAACCCUAGUAGUCCCAUGAU